UGGGGAAUUUUGGACAAUGGGCGAAAGCCUGAUCCAGCAAUGCCGCGUGUGUGAAGAAGGCCUUCGGGUUGUAAAGCACUUUUGUCCGGAAAGAAAUCCUUGGCUCUAAUACAGUCGGGGGAUGACGGUACCGGAAGAAUAAGCACCGGCUAACUACGUGCCAGCAGCCGCGGUAAUACGUAGGGUGCAAGCGUUAAUCGGAAUUACUGGGCGUAAAGCGUGCGCAGGCGGUUUGCUAAGACCGAUGUGAAAUCCCCGGGCUCAACCUGGGAACUGCAUUGGUGACUGGCAGGCUAGAGUAUGGCAGAGGGGGGUAGAAUUCCACGUGUAGCAGUGAAAUGCGUAGAGAUGUGGAGGAAUACCGAUGGCGAAGGCAGCCCCCUGGGCCAAUACUGACGCUCAUGCACGAAAGCGUGGGGAGCAAACAGGAUUAGAUACCCUGGUAGUCCACGCCCUAAACGAUGUCAACUAGUUGUUGGGGGAUUCAUUUCCUUAGUAACGUAGCUAACGCGUGAAGUUGACCGCCUGGGGGAGUACGGUCGCAAGAUUAAAACUCAAAGGAAUUGACGGGGUCAUAGCUGUUUCCU
rnacentral:rRNA from 1 species